GGGCGUUCAGCGCAGGGCCCAUGGGGCACUCAGCCCCCAGCCCCCACUGCCUGGUCCAGGGAGAGGCACCAGCCACACCCAGCUUCUCCUUCCCGCAAAGGAUUUCUGCGGAGAGAGAAGGAACGGGCAGGCCCCUGCCCGUGGGACAUUAGCAGUCUCUGGAGACACGGGCCGCUAACAUGUGAACAUGGAAAUGGCUGAGAAGAGCUUCCAAACAGCCAGCGUCCUGUGGGAGGACCCGUGCGGGCACUUGCCUCUGGCCCGUGGAUCAUGUGGGCAGCCCGCUCUGCAGACUCUCAGAGGGGAAGAGAGAAAGAAAAGUGCAACAAGACCCCGGAGCGAGCAGAACCUGUGAGAGGAUGUGGGUCAAGGGCGUGCGGCCCACAGCACGUGUGCGUCACCACGGCCCCCGGGGGAGCGGGCGGCAUGUCAGCCCCCAGACGCAGUCCUGCCCACGAGAACGUGCAGACUUCGCCCAGGCCACGGGAGACGAGAGAAUUCCUUCUCUAAUUGACUCUUCACUGGAGAGUAAUUAACCUCAAAACUGUUUACUGCCGGGAUCUGCAGCGCCUCUCCGAUACCGUAAUUUGAAGGAUGGGUAUAUGUUAGAUUAAAACUCUUUCCGAGUUUGCUAUUACCCUCUCUAAACACGCGAAGGCCCUAUAUUGAGGAUCUCAGAUUUGGUAUAAUUAACUUUUAAGGGCUUGAA